CCGCGAGACGCUGAUGUCGUGCCGUGGCAAUAGAUUUAACCGAUUAUAAAGGUAUUCCUAAUUCUAGUGAUGUUAUACGGAACGGAACACUAGUGAUGUUAUACGAAAAAAUAUUCGACGUGUGUAGAAACUGCUGUCCAUUUUGCCGAAAAUGUCAUCCAUUGUUACCUUACCUACCAUAGUAUAUGGCUUUAUUUACCGUACGACAACGUCUCAUCUCGUGCAGAAACACUUUAAGAGCUGCUUGCAGCCAGCUGGUAAAAGGUGUGAUUGAGUCAAGUUGAGCUGCAGGUGCUGCUGCUGCACGCAGUUUAUCAAGCUGGUGUUAUCCCAAAGUGUCACUGCAGGAAGACAUCUUGAAUUGGAGUUCAUGGUCAGUUUGAUGCUGUUUGGAGUACAGAGAUACAGUGGUUUUGCAGUCCCUUUCUAGUUGAGAGAUGCUCUGAAAUGGAGCUUGUGCAGACUUGCAGUUCAACAUCACACUUAAAUGUGUCAUUUGUCUAUGUUAGUGUCUAUGAAGUGUUGAACAGUUGGGUAACAUAGUCAUUGUUUCCUGAUGGCUGUCGGGCUUAUUUUAUCGGCUCCGUUUUGUCGUUAUGCCGUCUCUUGCUACCGGCGUUGAGUUCAAUCGUUUGCUGCCGAACCCAUAGAUACGAUCCAUUGGUGAAACUGAGGUGCUGAAAUUCAAGACUCGUCAAUACAUUUUUUAGAUGUAGGUCAAUUACAAGUGCAUAUCUGGGCCCUUCUUCAGUGGCCCCGUUUCCCUAACUAACCAACGCCCGCCGGUGGGCACUCACUCGCGGCGACAACCAGGAGGAAGGAAGUGGACUGGUCGAACGGGGACUUGCAAGGUGUAUGAUUCGAUGAAAUCUGUUGGGAGGGUCAUGAGUUUAAGCCGGAAGCCUACUAAGAUUAAUUGCUCUUGUAAUAACUGUUCCUCGGCUCUCUUCGCUCUUUUUUCGGUUUCUCUUAACCACGGCCGGGCAAUCUUCCUGGGCCAGUCAAUCGAGGCAGCGUCUCCCCCUGCUUUGAUUAGCUGCGUCUUGAACCGAACGGUUUGUUUAGUAAAUAAAAUUGAAUAUGGAAAAUAAAAU